GGUGGCUCAGUGGUAGAGCGCUAGCCUUGCAUGCAUGAAGCCCUGGGUUCGAUUCCCCAGCACCA
rnacentral:tRNA from 1 species